ACACCUCUAAUGUGGGGCUCUAUGGCACUGCCAGUGCUCUCACAAAACCCAUUGUGGGAUAGAUACAAUGAUGCGAUGUCUAUUUAAGUCUAUGCGUUGGACUGACUGGAAAGGAACAAUCUUGAAAAUCGUCCUCUUGCCAUUUUGUUGAUGUAUUAUGCUAAAGAAGAAAAAGUAAAACAUCUCGGCUUGUAUCACCUAGCGGUGGAAAUAAGAAAGACACGCGGGCCCUUUGCGACAGACUCGACUGCUGAGACGACCUGUCCAGAAGGGGUUUCAGGAGAAAGGAGUGAAUGUGACGAUGGAACAGGAGACUACUUCUGGAAAUGCUCCGCAGAAGAAACCAUUUUGUCUCAUAGUGCUUGGUAUGGCGGUGUCUGGAAAAAGAACUGUUGUGCAGUCUCUUCCAUAUAUUAUCAACCUAGACCCUGCCGUGCACGAAGUCCCUUUCCCUGCCAACAUCGAUAUCUGUGACACAGUGAAUUACAAAGAAGUCAUGGAGCAAUAUGGCCUGGGUCCCAAGGAUGAAUGGUCACGUCAUUGAAUCUCUUCAUUGGAUUGGAUCAGAUAUGUGUUGAUUGACACGCCUGAACAAAUAGAGGUGUUUACCUGGUCAGAGUCCGGAACUGUCAUCACUGAAACUCUGGCCUCUUCCUUCCCUUGUGUGCUGGUGUACGUGAUGGAUAAGUCUCGUAGCGUCAACCCCGUCAACUUCAUGUCUAACAUGCUCUACGCCUGCAGAAUUCUGUACAAGACGAAGCUGCCCUUCAUUGUCGUCAUGAACAAGGACACCCACAGGCCUCACAAGACCCGUCUGACCCCGGUACCAGUUGAAGAAAAUGAAUAAACGGAUGCUAAGAGCAGGAAGCUACAGGAGCAGAUUGAGCAUUUACAGAAAAACAUGGGGGCUGUUGCCAUGGAGAUGACCCCACAAACAGAGGAAGCUGAUGUGUUGGCCACAGUGACCUCCUCUUCAACCGUGGGAACCCGUAUGAGGAGGGGGUGGACAGCUACAUGGAUGACAUCGAUCACGGCAGUGAGUGGAGAGUUUUAUAAGAUCAAGUCACCUUGCAUUCCAAACAAGUCAAUCAUUAAUAAGUCUUACGUAGGAAGCAAAGAUUUGUUCCAAAAAUAUUAUUAAACACAAAAAUACAGGGAAUAUAAGUUCCCCUGUUAAGGUUACCCAUCUCCCCUUCCAGUGAGUGAGGAGAGCAAGUAGGGCACAGCCUUUGGGAACUUCCUGAAAGAGAGAAGGGAAUGGGUGCAGGAAUGAAACAGGAAGUCUCAGUGACUACCACAGGACCCUGAACUUUCAUACUUCACCUGUAAGAACCCCCCCCUUAAUCAAAUGGGAAGGGCUGUAUGUCAUUAGUCCAAUGUGGUUCCUUCUUCAUCUGCACUGGUCUACUGUAACCACUCAGGUAAGGUGUGAUGUAGUAUAGUCUGACCAGCUCACUCCAUUCAGCAACAGCGAAGGAGAGGAUGUAAGAGGCCACUUUAGAUUAUGAAGAUGCACCUUGGUGUGUUGCCUACUGGGAAUUCUAUCCCUACCUGCAUGCCUACUGGUCCCCUCUUCAGAACUGCUGAAGCUCCUUGGACUAUUGCAGUGUUGCAGUGCCACUAAGUAGGUUUUCUGUUUGCUCUUACUGACUGAAACUUAAUAAGUUAUGUUUUUGCAUAAGGGUUGGACAAAGUGAACACCUUGUUUCCUGUUUCUUGUCAGAAUCUUGAGCCUCAUUUUGUUAAAAAGGUGGGGUAAUGACUGAUGGAAUAAUGUGCUUGUAUCCUUUUUUUAUUUUACAGAUGUAGGAUCUUAAUUUGAUGACCCUGUUGUAGGAGAAUUUAACUUGUAGUGUGUUUGUUUAAAAUGCUUUCUAAAGUUUGUAAUUUCCAUUUUGAAAUUGCAGACUUGAAUUUUCCCUUUUCAAAAAAUGUAGCAAUCCAUACAAAAACAGGAAAUAGGAAACUGCCUCAAAUAAAUAUCCUCAUCUGUAAAUGGUUUUGUUGUAUUUUGUUUAGUGUAAGUUAAUUAUAUUGAUGAGUUCUGACUUCUAAACUUGAAAUAUUGUUAAUCACCAGGUAUUCUAUGGAAAUGAGGAGUGCCACAGUCUGGUUUCUACACCAUAAGUUAAUGGUUAUCUGUAGGAGGAAUGUAUAUGGUGGGGUCAAUUAAGGUUGGAUAAGGGCCACUGGCUUGGACUGUACAGAGUAAAGGAAAGGCGAUUACAUGGUUGCAGUCACUGAUAAAGGUGGAGAGCUGUGGAUUUGUGAUGAAUGGGGGUGGAGGUCAGGUCACAUUAAGGGAGAAGGAACAGUUUAUUAACCGCCUCACUUAACUUCCUGCCUAGCAAUAAAGAUGUAAUGUUUAUAGUGAAGGAGGAGACUUCAUCCAAAUUGGAGUAUAUAUACUGGUGGUAGUGGAAACAAACAUGUCUUUGCCUGUUUCAGCUGUCUGACCCAUUGGGGGAAUAAACUUGGUUUGAGCUUUACUAAU